rnacentral:lncRNA from 1 species
UGACUGCAAAGCAACAUCAACAUGUAGAAUAGAGAUAAUAAGUUUAGAAUCUCGCGAAUGCAAAGCCACAUCAAUAUGUAGAGUAGAGACAAUUUAGAAUCUGUUAACUUGGUAUAAACAUAACAAAGGAUCCAUACUCACAGAAACUAAAGAAGAUACACUUCAAUCAAGUGACUUCUGGAUGAAUGACUCAGGGCCAUGACCAAGCAGUAUGCUAUCAUUAGAAAAAGAAGAAAGAAAGCAUUUAUCUACAACAGAAGAGAAAUUGUUAGAUCACGGUGGUCAGCCUUCAGACCAACUCCGACCGUUCAGCAAGUAACAAUGCCUCAAGUUCUUCUCUCCGUUUCUCCAACUCCUGAAACACCAUACGAAUUGAGAAAAUGAGGAAAGAUGAGCUGGCAGUAACAAUAUACAGACCCAAAAAAUAUGCAUGUGCUAUUUAUAGGCUGCACCCUGAACCUCGAAACUAAGUGGAGCGGUUUUGGCAAUACUCUAUCCAAUGGACUUUGUUGGCUAUGAUCAACAAAAUAAUAAUGGUCUGUGGCACCAUUAUCGUUCUUGCAGGUUGUGCAUACUCUCUUUUAGAAACCAAAUAUAGUUCUCCUAUUAGCACAUAUUAUACUUGAUGCAAUAUGGCCCAGGAUAAUUAUAACAUAGCAUUCUAAAUUCAACACGCAUAAACACUGCAGAACUGGGUGAUCAUUUUGGGUUAAAGAGGGGCACCAUUUUUGUAAGCCAGAUUUUUAUAUUUCUAUUUUCUAAUGAGCUACACCGCAUGAACUAUACAGGGGAAGCAAAACAAGCAGGGCUGCAGGAAAAGAAUAAUCUUAUGACACAGUAACUGAAAGAGGAAUAAUUGAACUACUGAAGAAGAAACUGAGCAACAGUGAGUAAAUUUAGGCACAAGCCACAGAAAGGGUAUCUUAAAGACCGAAAAGACAAUAGCUCAAAACAAAGAAAUAUCCAAUCAAAGGAUUCCAUGAUGUCACAUUUGAAGUAUGAACCAAGUACUUACUUGCAGAUCUUUGGCUGCUUGCUCCCGUGAUAUUGCUUUCUGCUGCCUAGAACGUUUUAGCACACCAAUGCACAAUAUCCCCUAUAUAUUCAAAGUUUUUUAGUUAAAUACAUUUGUUAAGAUGUAAUAAGAGAAGGCAAUGUUGACUGUUU